CCACCCCCUUACCCAUCUCUUCCUUCCCGUCCGUCCGUCCCCACCCCCUUACCCAUCUCUCCCACUCUUCUUCUUCCUCCACACCAACCCCAACACUCCCUGACACCCUUUUUUCAAUUCCCUCAUUCCCUCUCCCUCUCCCUCUCCCUCUCCCUCUAUAGGGUUUGAACUUUGAAUUCCACCCCUCUCUCGCCUCUUCCCUCGCCACCCUCUGCCUCCACACAUCUCCUUCCCCCAAAACCCAUAUCCCCCUCCACCUCUCCCACCUCAAAGCCCCCACCUUUAAUCACUUAUCUGAUUUUUUUUCACUAGUUUUCUUAGAAACCCCUGCAACCCACUACCUGCAAAACCACAACCCAUAGCCCACAAGCCAAAUACCUGCAAUCGUCGCCCAAGGAGGUCGCGAGCUUAUCGUCGACGGGAAGGGCAAAGGAAGGCAUGUGGGUCGUCGCGGGGGGGGGGGGAACAGACGGGUUUGGUUUCUUCUGAUUCUGGUUUUUUUUUGUUUUUUUUUAAAUAGGGUUAAUAUUAUAAUAUUGUUAAUGUAUAAAAAUUAUUUUUUUUGUCAUGUGGCAGCCACGUCAGCAUUUAACAGACCAUUGGAUGGAAAAUCUAACGGAGGUGUUAUUUUGAAAUAAAAUAGUACGUGAUGUAUGAAAGUGAAAUGUUUUAAAGAUGUUGUAUGAGAUUGUAAUAAACCCUUAAACCUGAGGGGUUUCUAUGUAAUUUACCCUUGAUUUUAUUACUGUUUUAAAAGUCUCCGUCUAGUGGUGCUUAGGUUCUGCUUAGGCCUUAGGUAGAUGAUUACUGCCAUAAUUAAUCCUUAAGCGUUUAGACUAUUUAGGUGCCCACCCACCUAGACUGCUUAGGUUGCGACUCUCAUUUAAACAAAAAACAAAUAAUUUUCAUUUUGUAUUUUACUUUUUCAAUAAAUUGUAAGAGAUUUGUUAGAUACAUGGAUGAACACUCAUUAUAUGUUGUUUCCCCAUGUUUUCAAUAUAAUCUAGUACUCUAUAAUUUAUAUAUCAUUAUAUUUCGUAGUUUAUGUAUCCCAGUACAAUUUGUAUUUUAUAAAGUAUAAACAGACAUUUAUUUAUAUGUUAUAUAAUAAAUUUAAUUAAAUUAAAAAAAAAGGCCUAAGCCUAUGCCUAGGUCCCGCUUAGACGCCUAUGUGCUAACACUUGCUCGCCGUCUGGCUAGCGCUUAGGGCCUUUUAAAACCUUACUUUUUCUUAUAUUAUAUAGGUAAAUCAGAUUCACUAUUCACAUUCGCUUUGAAAAGAGAUUUAUAGAUAAAGAAAACGUAAAAAACAAAAAUGAGUGAUUAAAGAUAACUUACUUGAAUGAGGAUUUGGCUUGGGGUAUAAAAGGCCGGACAUGUUGACUUAUCCCAGAUUCAUGAGAUUCACGUUUACCUUAGAGGUUUAUAGAUAAAGAGAAAGUAAAAAGGAAAGAACAGUGAUUAAAGAUUGUAACUUUCUCAGCACCAUCCAGACUACUCUACGAGACAUCGCACACGUCAUAAUAUCAGAAUUUAUAGUGUUAGCUGUUUACGCACACAAAUGAUAGGCAACCAUCGACUGUUACAAAACUUAUAAAAGUCUCACACUAAUCAAUCAUUAAAAAAUUAUUUCGCAUUUGCGCGACUGAUUCUAA
rnacentral:lncRNA from 1 species